GUGAGCAUGUGACACAGGAACGCGCAUGCAGCGAGUGCUCGAGUGUGUGCCUCCACGGCUAACACUGUCUCUGUCUGCCGCUCUAGUUGUGAUUCCAUCCUUAUCCUUUUCUCCUCCCCCCUCUCCCUCUCUCUCUCAGAUUCGACACAGCGGCGUGCCGGCGGCCAAGGAGAUGUGGCUCACGUCGCGGCGGCCGGGCACGCGCUCAGAGGCUGCACUAUGCGCCCCGCUGAGGUGUUGAAUUAGCAGUCAGGACGCCGGCGUCCAUGGCCGGCAUGCUUUGAUGACUGAAAGUGUGCAUGCACGUGCGGGCGAGGCUCGCAAUACUGAAGCUCAGCCGCGUCGUUGAUUCGUAGAGCCCGAGGGCGAAGGAGGUAGUUUCCACCAGUGCAUCGUGCUGUCGAGCCGGUGUGGCUGGUCUUCGCUGGAUCCUACGUUUGUUCCAUGCCACGCUGGGGAUGCCAUUGCGAGCAAUAGCAAGCCGCCCGCUUGUUUGCAGGGCCAGACCGGCAGUAGAGCUGGAGGAUGAGGAGCUAGACUUGCGCCAUCCGGCUCCGGCAGCAGGCACCAGUGACCCAAACUGAGUAAGCUCACUGGCGAUUGAGCGGAUAGGGUGCCAUCACCUGUGGAUAAGCAAAAGAUGCAGCAUCAAAAUCAAUUCAUAAGGAAAACAAAGGAAGGAAACCAAUACCUUCAAGAGUCUAAGGAGGAAUGAUAGAGGAUUUAGGCAACCUCCCGUGAAGUAAGCGCGGAUUCAGCCGACAAUAACUGGAAAGAGCAAAACUGAUGAUCGCAUUCUCCAUUCUACGGAAUACUAGAUUUGCAGAUGUGCAUCCAUUUUGUCAGUUAACCGGUUGGAUGAGGUAUUACUUAAGCUGAAGAGACGAUCCAAGCACGAGUCGUUACUGCACCUGCAAUGUGCCGAAUGUAGCAGAAGCUUUGGCUAUGUGUCAUGGUUGGAACUUGCGGUCUCCAUUGGAGCUAAUGCGGUAGAAGCGCAAUCGGAUUCUAUAGAGGUAAUACACUAUUGCUCGGGGCAAGAACGGAUGUGGAAUGAAGCAACUGCAGUUUAUGCAGAUUGUUUGACGAGUGCGGGAAUCAUCGGGAAGGUUGAGUUCACUCAUUGUCCGAGAGAGGUGAUGAAGUGGCGCAUCAAAUAGCUAGGUGUUGCUUUGAUUCGAAAAAUUCCUGUAAUUGGAUCGAUGAACCCCCUAGUUUUAUUUUGCAAAUUCUCGUGAAUGAUGCAACUAUUAUCUGAUAUUAAUAAAGCUAGCCGUAGUGGCCUUCCCUAAAAAAAGUAACUAACUGACAAUUAUCAUGAUGUUCUGAAGUCUAUAGGAUUGAAUUAAGCAUUACAUCCGUAAGAAUAAGAGAACGAUCAUGAACCAUAUGUUAGAGCUUGAAGGUGUAUUUUUCGAUGGCGCCAACAACGCAUCAACCCUACGCCAUCCUCAGCUAUGCAAUGCCUGAACCCAACCCAGAAUUGAGACAGCUGAAAGUUGCGUUCUGUCAACGUCGGGCCGCUCACCUCGGAUGAAGGUCGUGACAGGAGAAUGGUAGGCGUCGGCGAGCAGGAAGAGAUGCACCUCCACGAAGGCCUUCCUUCGGAUCUGUACCCAUGACAGCUACGACUUCCAUGCUGCAGGGCCUAUCGAUGUGGCCCUUGAGUAGGGCGGAUGGGGGAGC